rnacentral:rRNA from 1 species
CCUACGGGUGGCAGCAGUGAGGAAUAUUGGUCAAUGGACGAGAGUCUGAACCAGCCAAGUAGCGUGAAGGAUGACUGCCCAGUGGGUUGUAAACUUCUUUUAUAUGGGAAUAAAAUGUUCCACGUGUGGGAUUUUGUAUGUACCAUAUGAAUAAGGAUCGGCUAACUCCGUGCCAGCAGCCGCGGUAAUACGGAGGAUCCGAGCGUUAUCCGGAUUUAUUGGGUUUAAAGGGAGCGUAGGUGGAUUGUUAAGUCAGUUGUGAAAGUUUGCGGCUCAACCGUAAAAUUGCAGUUGAAACUGGCAGUCUUGAGUACAGUAGAGGUGGGCGGAAUGCGUGGUGUAGCGGUGAAAUGCUUAGAUAUCACGAAGAACUCCGAUUGCGAAGGCAGUUCACUGGACUGCAACUGACACUGAGGCUCGAAAGUGUGGGUAUCAAACAGGAUUAGAUACCCCGGUAGUC